UGGUCUGCUGCUUGGUCUGC
rnacentral:scRNA from 1 species